UUUUGUUAAUAAAGUAUGAUUUAUUACAUCUCUUUGGUCCUUCGCAUAAAGUUGACAUAUUAAAAAGACAAUAUUAAAAAGAAACUUAAGCGCCGUUUUCUCUCUUUGUUUCUAUUAUAACUGUAUAAAAAAAGGCUUUUUCUAAUAAAAAUUUUAAUAAUGAUGUAUUUGCUACAGUUAUAUUUAAUUAGUAGAGAGUUUUUGCAUUCCACUUGCGAGCACUGAUUCAACAGGCUAAAAGCGAAAUAAAAACGAUUACAUCGGUAUUUUCAACGAUACUUUUCCUCUAUGGCUCGCGAUCAAGAGCACGAUUAUCGCGCUACUCGCGCUCACUGUUUCUAAAUGUCACAUUUGUUUACCGAGUGACAGGGCCGAUCUUAUUAACUGCAGGAUUUUGGUUCAAUUAUUUUAGCGAUAAUCUUUGAAAUAGAUGACUAGUUGACAGAAAUGUACGCUAUUGGUAAUAUUAUGUCAUUUUUAUUUUAUUAAUAAAAAUGUAUUAUUAUGUAAUCAUAAAAAUUGCGCGCACACACAUUAUCAUCAUCAUAAUCAUUUAUAUACAAUCUAAUUAAACGGUCAACACUAUUGAAAAAUAUACAUAUCAUACAUAUCAUGAUAGUAAUUAUAUAUAAAUAAUGAUAAAUAUAUAAUAUAUAUAACGUAAUAUAAUGUAAUAUAUUUUGAUAUGAUCUUUUAAUUAAGUAUUUGAACAAUGUUUUUAAAAAUUUCAUUAUCAUAAACAUAUUAUUAUACGUCUCAAAUUAGCUGUACAUGUUUAAUGCAAAUUUCUCUACGAAGGGCGCGAGUUCGGUUCAAUGCAAAUUGAAUUUGAUGGUUUUAAAGACCCGGCCCUGCUUGUAGAAGAAAUCGAAUGCGAAUAUAGUGCCAGCGGCACUAAUCGUUUAUCGCUUAAGGAGACCGCACCUGUGCGACCGUGACAAGUACUUAACGAUCCCUCCUCUAAUGAUCGCAUCGCGCGAGAAAAUUAUGAAAAUCUUCAACGCGAACGUAGGGGACAUGAUCUGUGCGAGUAAAAGCAUUGAAGUCUCCACGCGAGAAUCGCACGACGGCUGACUCGCACAAUUGUCUUUAAUGCCAUUAUUUUUACCUUUGUAACGCGGUGUCUUAUUUGUUCAGUAUAAAGAUCGCAUACCAAGUAAAAUAAAAAUGAGACGCAAAGUGUAGGAUUAACGGUCAACGGGAAACAUAACCAUAAUCUAUCCAUUACGAAAUAUUAGUUAUUUAUUAUAUCAGGGUCUCUAUAAUAAAAAUAUCGUAUAAUUCAGAUAUAAACGGAGAAAUAUAGUAAUAUGAUAAUAUUCAAUUUUAAAUGCAUAACUUAACAUCUUUGACGAUGAUUAAAAUAAACUAAUCAAAAAAAAGGAAUCAAACGUGAAUUAAUGGGAUCAAUCUUUUUACUUUCAUUCAAAUAAUGCCUGUUGAACAAAUUGUGUAUUAACGCAAUGGUUCAAUACAAAUUGUUUGACUAAACGCAAUUAUUGAAUUCAUUAAAAAUUUAUUAAAAUAAUUUGUCCAAGCAAUUUAACAUUUAGUUAACAAAAAUUCGUUCGUCCUAAAUAAGGUUUUUUAUUAUAAUCUUAUUUUCUUUUUUAAUGCAAUAGUAGUUUAUAUUUAAAUAAUUCAGUUUUAAUGUAAUUUUGGUCACAUGUAUCUCCGACACUAUAUGUAGUCUAGCGUAUAUUAAUCUAACAUAAGAACAUGUUGCGAGCGAUUAAACUCAAUCUUGUUAGAUAUUUCUAGCCACGUUGAUAAGUGUGAUGGUAGAAAAUAUUUUUAAUGGUAUUACAUUUCAAGGGGUGUUCCUUAAGAGAAUACCAUUUCUCAAGAUAGAUGAAGUUUCGAAAUCUUCAUAAUUCCUAGGCAUUCUUCCGAAAUCUACGUUACGUCUACAUAACCACACAUAACUAUUUGAAUAAAUAAUUAUUAAUCGCGCCUUUAGGUACGUUUCUUUCACAUUUCGCAUGCAUGAAAUUUGUCUGAAAGUUUUUCAAAAUUCUUAACUCUAAACGAUACGCCUAAUGCCUUAGCAAAACUACAAACGAUCUCGCUCCGCCGUAUAAAGGUACGAGGAAAAAGAAACGAGCGUCAACGCGAUCGGGCCCCCUUACCUGCUCCGUCUUCUCAUCGAACCAACGCGAUGACUCCCUGACCAAUGGAGUACCGUCUGAGUGACAUCCUGAGCGAUCGGAACGGCACGCGCGCACGCGACUUUUUUCGUCGAGCAACGAUACGCGGAAACUGCGUUUCAGAAGCCCGCGACGACGCGAUGUCCCUCGCGAUCGCACGCGCGAUUCGACUUGCGCGCGUGCGCGAUAAAUCCCUCUCCUUCGCUUCUUAAUCGGCGCCCAGCUCCUAUCACCCUCCCCACGCAACUGAUCGAAUCCUUCUCACUUGCCCCCACGACUCAUGGCUCUUUCUCGUCUUUGCGACCAUCAUCGGUGCUCGAGAGAUCGGAGAUCGAGGCUUUCUCGGGGAAGCUGUCUGCGCGUACUGCAGGAUGCGUUAACACAUGGGAUACUAAGUGGAUGAAGGCGAAAGAGGACGCAAGAUGUACAAUGAUUCUCGUCUUUUCUUCGGUGUCGUCGUCUGUGAGAAAUUCUCUCUUGGGAUAAGGAAUGGGGCAUCCCGCGAAUAUGCUGAGAUUUCAUAUUAUGGAAAUAAAUAGAAUUUAGCGAAAUUGUUAGCAAACGAUUGGCUCCUCUUGAAAAUAGGCAUCCUGCAUAGAAUGCUCUGACGUGAUACGCUUGUUUGGAUCCAUCAUUAGUAGUUUUUGCAACUGAAAUGAUAAUAAUCACAUGAUAAGAAUCACAUUUGU